CCACCGCACGACGCAACGGCUCCGGUGGCUUCUUAAGCGACGAAGAUCUAAGCCUCGACACUCCACUGCCUGCUCCUAACUGAAGCAUUGAACCCCCGGGCUCCGACCUGGACUGAAAGUUGUAGCCAUCGGACUUAGGUUGCACUCCGAAUCCACGCACAACCGUCUGUCAAACUUAACUCCAAUUUUUUUUUUUUUACAAGAGUUUUUAAGCAAUUAAAAUCUUCUUUUUUCCCCUCAAUUCAAUCGUUACUACAUUUCAACAGAGAACAAAGAAAGAGAGAAAGAGAGAAAUUUGUGGAAGAUUCAAAAUCUUAUUUAUUCUGAGAGUAAAAAAAAUGAAAUAGGAGAGGGAAAACUGGGAGGAGGGAAAGUGGGAAAAAAAAGAGAUUUUGAAACGGCGGGGUUUUGAAAAUUUCCAUAUUUGCGGCGUUUUUAUAAAAACGCCGCUAUUGCUUAUCUUUUGUGGUAUUUUUUAUAGAAACGUUGCAAAAAAAUCAUUUUAUUUUGAACAAAACGACCCCAUUUUACUCAGCUAAAAAUAUUUUAUUUUGUCUGCUAAAAAUUAUUAGUUAAUUGAUUUUAUAAAAUAUUUUUUAUUAUUAUUUUUUAUAAACUUGAUUUUUA
rnacentral:lncRNA from 1 species